GGGCGGGUAGCUCAGUGGUAGAGCAUUCGACUUUUAAUCGACUGGUCGAGGGUUCGAUCCCCUCCCCGCCCA
rnacentral:tRNA from 3 species